rnacentral:rRNA from 1 species
CAAGCAAGAUUACCCGCUGAACUUAAGCAUAU